GUCCUUUUGAUUUUUAUUUAAGGUCUGACCUGCCCACUGAUUUAUUUAAUGGCCGCGGUAUUUUGACCGUGCAAAGGUAGCAUAAUAAUUUGUCUUUUAAUUGAAGGCUUGUAUGAAUGGUUGGACGAGAAAAUUACUUUCUUUAUAAUAUAGUUAUAAAUUUUAUUUUUUAGUUAAAAAGCUAAAAUUUUAUUGUAGGACGAGAAGACCCUAUAGAACUUUAUAUUUAUUUUUAUAUUAAUAUUUUUGGUUAAUUAUAUAUUAUAUUUUUAUAAAUAUUUUGUUGGGGCGACAAGAAAAUUUAUUUAACUUUUUUUUAUUAAUUUCAUUAAUUAAUGUAUAAAUGAUCCUUUAUUAAGGAUAAUUAGAAUAAGUUACCUUAGGGAUAACAGCGUAAUUUUUUUGGAGAGUUCUUAUCGAUAAAAAAGUUUGCGA
rnacentral:rRNA from 1 species